rnacentral:rRNA from 1 species
ACUAACAAGGAUUCCCCUAGUAACUGCGAGUGAAGCGGGAUAAGCUCAAAUUUAAAAUCUGGUGGUCUUUGGCCGCCCGAGUUGUAGUCUGGAGAAGUGCUUUCCGCGCUGGACCGUGUACAAGUCUCUUGGAACAGAGCGUCGUAGAGGGUGAGAAUCCCGUCUUUGACACGGACUACCAGUGCUUUGUGAUGCGCUCUCAAAGAGUCGAGUUGUUUGGGAAUGCAGCUCAAAAUGGGUGGUGAAUUCCAUCUAAAGCUAAAUAUUGGCGAGAGACCGAUAGCGAACAAGUACCGUGAGGGAAAGAUGAAAAGCACUUUGGAAAGAGAGUUAAACAGUACGUGAAAUUGCUGAAAGGGAAACGCUUGAAGUCAGUCGCGUUGUUCAGAACUCAGCCUUGCUUCUGCUUGGUGCAUUUUCUGACUAACGGGCCAGCAUCGAUUCUGACCGCCGGAAAAGGGCCAGAGUAAUGUGGCACCUCCGGGUGUGUUUAUAGACUUUGGUCACAUCGGCGGUCGGGAUCGAGGAAUGCAGCGCGCCGCAAGGCAGGGGUUCGCCCACUUUCGCGCUUAGGAUGCUGGCGUAAUGGCUUUAAACGACCCGUCUUGAAACACGGACCAAGGAGUCUAACAUGCCUGCGAGUGUUUGGGUGGAAAACCCGAGCGCGUAAUGAAAGUGAAAGUUGAGACCUCUGUCGUGGAGGGCAUCGACGCCCGGACCUGACGUUCUCUGAAGGAUCCGCGGUAGAGCAUGUAUGUUGGGACCCGAAAGAUGGUGAACUAUGCCUGAAUAGGGUGAAGCCAGAGGAAACUCUGGUGGAGGCUCGUAGCGAUUCUGACGUGCAAAUCGAUCGUCAAAUUUGGGUAUAGGGGCGAAAGACUAAUCGAACCAUCUAGUAUCUGGUUCCUGCCGAACGUGUCCCUCAGAGAUAGCAGAAACUCAUUAUCAGAUUUAUGUGGUAAAGCGAAUGAUUAGAGGCCUUGGGGUUGAAACAACCUUAACCUAUUCUCAAACUUUAAAUAUGUAAGAACGAGCCGUCGCUUGAUUGGACCGCUCGCGAUUGAAUUCUAUUGGGCCAUUUUUGGUAAGCAAA